AAGUAAAAUAUAUAUACCUGUGUGUCAUAAAAUGCCACAGAUUUUCAAAAUGCACUCAUUAUCAUUGCUACAAGAUGACUGAAAGUGACAUUUUGAACACAUCUUUUAAACAGCUCCAUCUAAUAUCACUGCUGCUGAAAUUUCUGACUCCUCCCUUCUGGCUCUUCAGUGGCCUCCGAUCCUACUGGAUUCCAGACCUCAAUCUUCCGUGUGAUAAUUUCAACUCUAGGGAACAGCUUCUGAAAUGAAGCCAUAGAUUUUUGUUGGACAAAUAGGCCAAAAAGGGAGAGGGGUAUGUUGUGACUUGGAGAGGUGGCAAAUAUGUCAUCUUCAGACAGAGAAAUAAACUUAAAAAAACAAUCAUGGAAAUGAAAGAAGAAAGAAAACGUAGAUGAAAAGAACAGCAGUACAGCUAGAAAAUUUCCAACAGGCAUAAAUGGAGCCAGUUCAAGGUAUGUGCCUCACGAGCUAGAUACAAUCAAGUUGAAGGUUGAAGACUACCAGUCUCUGCCAUAUGCUAAUCAUAUUUGGGGGCAAAAUAUCACUUGGUAAUUCGAGAUCUCACGUCCUUCAUUUCCAACCAAACAAACCAAAGGAUUUCAAGAGCAUAUUCAAGUCAUUCAUGCAUUUCCAUCAAGCACAAAGAUCAAGGAAGAUUAAACCCUACUAAUUACUCGCU